rnacentral:rRNA from 1 species
UACGGGGGGAGCAAGCGUUGUUCGGAUUUACUGGGCGUAAAGGGCGCGUAGGCGGUCAGCACAAGUCAGUUGUGAAAUCUCCGGGCUUAACUCGGAAAGGUCAACUGAUACUGUGCGACUAGAGUGCAGAAGGGGCAACUGGAAUUCUCGGUGUAGCGGUGAAAUGCGUAGAUAUCAGGAGGAACACCGAGUGGCGAAGGCAGGUCUCUGGGCCGCAACUGACGCUGAGGAGCGAAAGCAUGGGGAGCGAACAGG